UUUAGUAAGAUUUAAUUUGGUAAGUUAUAAAAAUAACUAGAUUUUAUGUUUAGAGUACAUGUAUAUGGAUCCUAGAUAACCUUAGAAGCUUUUAUCUUAGACCUUAGUAUCAACUAAUACUCAAUACUAUAAACUAAUAACUAUAAAUCACAAUGUAGAUACUAUAACAUUAUAAUAUUAUUAGUAAGUACUUCUAAUAAACAACUUACUUUAAUUUAUUACAGUUCAGUUACAAUUUCUGGAAAACCAGCAGUAUAUUGAAUUUCGUCAGGCUAAGAACAAUUUAAAUAUUCGAAAUGGAGUACCAACUAGAGCAAGAAUACAGAACUCUGAUGCAAUUAGGAACUUCCUUCAGGAACUUGCUACAGAUAUGAGCCCUACUCGAAUAUUUACAUUUUUAAGGCCUGCUGGUCAUAGGGUGGAUGGGUAUAUAGCCCAAGAAAUUGGACCACAUCCUGGCGAAGAAGAGCUUCUUUUAUUUGAGGCUGUGCAAUAAAUGUAUAAAUAUUAUGUUUGUAAAUACUGUUAAUUUGUAAUAUUUUGUAUAGUUUGUAAAUUGUAAAUACUGUAAAUUUGUAAUAUUAUGUA